UACUUGUUGCUUAGUAAAACUGGACCUCUUUCCCCAACUAUAGGUGCAAGACAGGAAAACAUCUGUACUACAGUGGCUAUGUCGCUUCUGCCCUAUAGGGCGAACUGGUUGAUUGAGUUUAUUUUGCCUCUGCCUCUGUCUCUGAGCUCCAUUGCCAUUUGCCACGUAAUCUCCCGAGUGCAGAGCAUAUAUGCAGAGUUCAUAUGCUGAGUUCAUAUGCUAGUCGGAACUAGAAAACGCGGAAAUGUCAGACUUGCUUACUGGUUGUAGUUAUAUACGUGCCGCGUACAUGGUUACCAAGUGGGUAAAUGUCCGAGUUUCCUAGCUCCGACUAGCACGUGAAAGCGGCAAUAGGCAUAGAUAGGUACAAGGGGCGGAUUGCGUAGCAGAGCAACACGAGCCUGUCGGAAUCGGAGGAGAGCAACACGGGCAAAAUCUUAGAGCAUACAAGUUCAAGGGGGGAGAUUAUUUUAGUUUCCCUUGCGAAAACAAAACAUUGAAACGUGGAUAUUGUUAACUAGACGCCCAGGACAGCGCUACAGGGAGACAGGACGGAUAGCUGAUCAUCCUCGCAGUGGCAGACCACGUGUAACAACACCUGCAUAGGAUCGGUACAUCCAAACAUCACACCUGCGGGACAGGUACAGGAUGGCAACAACUGUCCGAGUUACACCAGGAACGCACAAUCCCUCCAUCAGUGUUCAGACUGUCUGCAAUAGGCUGAGAGAGGCUGGACUGAGGGCUUGUAGGCCUGUUGUAAGGCAGGUCCUCACCAGACAUCACCAGCAACAACAUUGCCUAUGGGCACAAACCCACCGCCACUGGACCAGACAGGACUGGCAAAAAGUGCUCUUCACUGACGAGUCGCGGUUUUGUCUCACCAGGGGUGAUGGUCGGAUUCGCAUUUAUCAUUGAGCACGUCUGGGACCUGUUGGAUCGGAGGGUGAGGGCUAGGGCCGUUCCCCACAAAAAUGUCCGGGAACUUGCAGGUGGAAGAGUGGGGAUACAUCUCACAGCAAGAACUGGCAAAUCUGGUGCAGUCCAUGAGGAGGAGAUGCACUGCAGUACUUUAAUACAGCUGGUGGCCACACCAGAUACUGUUACUUUUGAUUUUGACCCCCCCCCUUUGUUCAGGGACACAUUAUUCAAUUUCUGUUAGUCACAUGUCUGUGGAACUUGUUCAGUUUGUCUCAGUUGUUUAAUCUGAUGUUC
rnacentral:lncRNA from 1 species